GGAGUCUGGGCCGUGUCUCAGUCCCAAUGUGGCCGUUCACCCUCUCAGGCCGGCUAUGCAUCAUCGCCUUGGUGGGCCGUUACCUCACCAACAAGCUAAUGCACCGUAAGCCCAUCUACUUGUAUUUCAAACCUUUAAUAAUGUUAGGAUGCCCCAUCAUUACCUAUCCGGUAUUAGCGCCCGUUUCCAGGAGUUAUCCCAGUCCUUGUAGGUAGGUUGCUUACGUAUUACUCACCCGUUCGCCACUCGCGCCAACUAGCAAGCUAGUUAUUGCUCGUUCGACUUGCAUGUAUUAGGCACGCCGCCAGCGUUUAUC
rnacentral:rRNA from 1 species